rnacentral:lncRNA from 1 species
AUGUGCUAUUUUUUGGUUUGGUCUAAAUAAGUGGUCUAAUGGACAUUAUGUUAAGGGGGCCAAUGUAUUGUCAUAUAAAGUGUAGGACUAAUGUGUAGAUACCCAAAUGGGUAACCUUAGUUAAUGAUGGGCUAACUAAGGUUACAUACAUGUAACCAUGGUUACAUGCCUAUGACUUUUGAGUUUCAUAACUCAUAUGUUAUAAGUGGGGGUUAUGGUUCCCAUAAGAAUGCAAGACAUUCUCAUCUUCUUCCACCCAUUGAGAGAGA